GAUGAACGCUGGCGGCGUGCUUAACACAUGCAAGUCGAACGGAAAGGCCCCAGCUUGCUGGGGUACUCGAGUGGCGAACGGGUGAGUAACACGUGGGUGAUCUGCCCUGCACUUUGGGAUAAGCUUGGGAAACUGGGUCUAAUACCGAAUAUGACCACUUCUUGGAUGUUGUGGUGGAAAGCUUUUGCGGUGUGGGAUGAGCCUGAGGCCUAUCAGCCUGUUGGUGGGGUAAUGGCCUACCAAGGCGGCGACGGGUAUCCGGCCUGAGAGGGUGUACGGACACAUUGGGACUGAGAUACGGCCCAGACUCCUACGGGAGGCAGCAGUGGGGAAUAUUGCACAAUGGGCGCAAGCCUGAUGCAGCGACGCCGCGUGGGGGAUGAAGGCCUUCGGGUUGUAAACUCCUUUCGCUAUCAACGAAGCCACUUGUGGUGACGGUAGGUAGAUAAGAAGCACCGGCUAACUACGUGCCAGCAGCCGCCGCCG
rnacentral:rRNA from 1 species